UACGAAGGGGGCGAGCGUUGCGCGGAAUCACUGGGCGUAAAGGGCGCGUAGGCGGCCGAUUAAGUCGGGGGGGAAAGCCUGUGGCUCAACCACAGAAUUGCCUUCGAUACUGGUUGGCUUGAGACCGGAAGAGGACAGCGGAACUGCGAGUGUAGAGGUGAAAUUCGUAGAUAUUCGGAAGAACACCAGUGGCGAAGGCGACACACUGGCUCAUUACUGACGCUGAGGCGCGAAAGCGUGGGGAGCAAACAGG
rnacentral:rRNA from 1 species